rnacentral:rRNA from 1 species
AGAUUGAACGCUGGCGGCAGGCCUAACACAUGCAAGUCGAGCGGUAGAGAGGUGCUUGCACCUCUUGAGAGCGGCGGACGGGUGAGUAAUGCCUAGGAAUCUGCCUAGUGGUGGGGGAUAACGUUCGGAAACGGACGCUAAUACCGCAUACGUCCUACGGGAGAAAGCGGGGGACCUUCGGGCCUCGCGCCAUUAGAUGAGCCUAGGUCGGAUUAGCUAGUUGGUGAGGUAAUGGCUCACCAAGGCGACGAUCCGUAACUGGUCUGAGAGGAUGAUCAGUCACACUGGAACUGAGACACGGUCCAGACCUCCGUAGGGG